CCUACGGGAGGCUGCAGUGGGGAAUAUUGCACAAUGGGCGCAAGCCUGAUGCAGCCAUGCCGCGUGUGUGAAGAAGGCCUUCGGGUUGUAAAGCACUUUCAGCGGGGAGGAAGGCGGUGAGGUUAAUAACCUCAUCGAUUGACGUUACCCGCAGAAGAAGCACCGGCUAACUCCGUGCCAGCAGCCCCGGUAAUACGGAGGGUGCAAGCGUUAAUCGGAAUUACUGGGCGUAAAGCGCACGCAGGCGGUCUGUCAAGUCGGAUGUGAAAUCCCCGGGCUCAACCUGGGAACUGCAUUCGAAACUGGCAGGCUAGAGUCUUGUAGAGGGGGGUAGAAGUCCAGGUGUAGCGGUGAAAUGCGUAGAGAUCUGGAGGAAUACCGGUGGCGAAGGCGGCCCCCUGGACAAAGACUGACGCUCAGGUGCGAAAGCGUGGGGAGCAAACAGGAUUAGAUACCCGAGUAGUC
rnacentral:rRNA from 1 species